UACGUAGGGUGCAAGCGUUGCCCGGAUUUAUUGGGCGUAAAGGGCGCGUAGGCGGCUCUGCACGUCCGUUGUGAAAUCGCCCGGCUCAACUGGGCGGGGUCAGCGGAUACGGCAGAGCUUGAGCAAGCUAGGGGGCAAUGGAAUUCCCGGUGUAGCGGUGAAAUGCGCAGAUAUCGGGAAGAACACCCGUGGCGAAAGCGGCUCACUGGGUCUCUUCUGACGCUGAGGCACGAAAGCUAGGGGAGCAAACGGG
rnacentral:rRNA from 1 species